CUCGAGCCGCAUGUGGCUCUUAUGCCCUCCUACUUUUGCAGUCGUUAUAAGGCACUGUUUAUGUAAUAAGAUGCGUUUUGGUCGAUCGGAUCACAAGUGUAUGAAAGAGGCUACACCUGCUUCUGAGUCUAUUUUGUCCACUUUUGUCCCGAUUUCUUCACGAAAAAGAAUACACAUUACACCAGGGUGUAUGGCUGGCAAAAUAUAUACCUUUUUCGUAUAUUUCAUUAGAACGAUAGACGAAAUAAGUGCAUGCAAUGUAACAUUACAGACGAGAUGACAGAAAAAAACAUACAGAGAGCAGCGGUUUUAUUUCUGCUUUGACAGAUGUGAGACAACGCCGAACACUGCGUUAGAAAUGGAAUGGAGGCAGAAAUGAGCAAAUCUCACAGGGUGUCGGAAUCAGAAGAAGAUGACGACCCACGUCAUUGCACGUUGGUUUAAAUAGCACAAGGCGGAUAGAAAAAGUUCUUUCUGAUCUUUGUAGUCGGUGGUGAUGCGAGAUGUGCGCUACAGAAAGAAUCCGGAAAAAUAAAAUUCGCGAGAACAAGACAUGGUGUUACCACCCCAGUGCUACCCACUGUCGGUGUCUAAAAUACUGCAUGUGUUCUGUAACAUAAAAGCAGAGAAAUGUAACCACGUGCUCAAAUAAACUACAAAAUGAUUCCAUGUUGCAUUGGGUGUCUUACUGGAUGGAUAGCAUGGUGCUAUCAGGUUUCUUAUGGAGGGAAUCUGAAAAUGUUAGGUUUCUUAUGGAUCGAAUCUGACCAUGUUAGGUUUCUUAUGGAUGGAAUCUGACCAUGUUAGGUUUCUUAUGGAUGGAAUCUGACCAUUUAAGGUCUUUAAGACCAUCAGGUUUAUGAGAUUCCAGAUGAGGCGGCGUAGGACGAACCAUAAAUUCCCGUUGUAUGUGAAAACUACUGCCAUACAUUUGUAUUGCGUACAUUAUUUCCUGGUGGGUCAGUGUCCUGCGGACUUCUAAACCCAAUUAAACACACCUGAUCCAGUUUAUCAAAGUCUUCGAGAUUACUAGAAAUUUCAAGGCAGGCGCACUGUAGUUGAAUGCAGUUUAACUCUGUGGGACCAAGGACCAGGACUGCCAUCCCUUCAACUUUGACUCCUCCCCUUUCCCGAAACCAAAUAAAAGUAAUUAAGUCAA